CGCCUCUUGAAACCCAUAAGAGGUCCAGCCUGCCCAGUGACUUAGUUUAACGGCCGCGGUAUUCUAACCGUGCAAAGGUAGCGUAAUAACUUGUCUUCUAAAUAAGGACUAGUAUGAAAGGCAUCACGAGGAACAAUCUGUCUCCUUUUUCUAAUCAGUGAAACUAAUCCCCCCGUGAAGAAGCGGGGAUAGACUUAUAAGACGAGAAGACCCUAUGGAGCUUUAGACAUACCUAUUACUGUCCCACACAAACUCAAACUCCAGAGAAAAACUGCCGACAUAAAAUUGGAAGUCUUCGGUUGGGGCGACCACGGAGAACAACCCAUCCUCCGAGAUGAAAACUAUUCAUUAGCUACAAGCCACAACUUCACGUAUCAAAAAAUUGUCACUCAUUGACCCAGUAACCUGAUCAACGAACCAAGUUACCCUAGGGAUAACAGCGCAAUCCGCCUUAAGAGCUCAUAUCGACAGGUGGGCUUACGACCUCGAUGUUGGAUCAGGGUAUCCUAGUGGUGCAGCCGCUACUAAAGGUUCGUUUGUUCAACGAUUAAAACCCU
rnacentral:rRNA from 1 species